rnacentral:rRNA from 1 species
GACGAACGCUGGCGGCGUGCUUAAUACAUGCAAGUCGAACGAACAAGCCUAGCUCGUUCGGUGGAUUCGUUGCCAACGGGCGAGUAAUACGCAAGUAACCAACCUAUCUCUCUGGCUUAAGUCACGGCAACUGGCCCUAAUACCGGCCACGUCCAAUCUCCGACCGCGUGGUUCGAUGAUAACGUUCUGUAGUGGUUUUAGUUAGGCUUACAGCCUAUCAGCUUGUUCGUGAUGUAACGGUUAACCAUGGCGACGGCGGGUAGCCGGCCUGGGAAUGUGAGCAGCCUCACUAGGACUAAGACACGGCCCAGUCUCGUACGGGAAGCAGCAGGGGGGAAUUUUGCACAGUAGGGGCAAGCGUGAUGCGACGACGCCGCGUGAGGGAUAACGGCCUUCGAGUUAUAAACCUCUGUUAGCGGAGAAAAAGAGAUAUUGACGGUACCUGCAGAGAAAGCGCCGGCUAACUACGUG